UGGCUCUGAGGUGGAGAUUAUGUCCCGACCACGCGCCCUUGUGGCUAAAAGAGAUGCAGGAUUAUAGGGACGCCUGCCAGAGCCA
rnacentral:ncRNA from 12 species